CCGAGUUUACAACUCCAAACCCCUGUGAACAUACCACUUGUUGCCUCGGCGGAUCAGCCCGCUCCCGGUAAAACGGGACGGCCCGCCAGAGGACCCCUAAACUCUGUUUCUAUAUGUAACUUCUGAGUAAAACCAUAAUAAAUCA
rnacentral:misc_RNA from 1 species